GGAUGGUCAUUUAUGGAGAAUCACCUUCGGUGUCUUUAUCUUUAAGAUUCAUGAGAAUAUAACAUUUUGGACUAUAAAAUGGCAGUCUUGGGGUCUCUGGACUGUGCAAAUUUAGGUGGCAAAUCUCAGAUGUAGCCCCAAAGGGCUGGCUUUUCUGGACUCCCCCGCCCCCUACUCCAGCUGCCAGUUUUAUCUGUCCAUGAGAAAGUAGGUUAAUAUGUGUGACUCAUGAGGACCCAGACUUAGAAACAAGCACUUUGGCAGACAGUUGAUGUACAGCAGAUAAGAGCACUUAUCAUCAUGCUCAAACUAUGCAUCUAGAACAGGUCUUUCAGAUGAUGAUGAUGGUGAUGCUGUUGCUGAUAAGAACAGCUAAUGUGUAUUAAGAAUUGACUGGAACCUACUUUGCUAAGAACCUGCUAUGAAUAUUUUUUGGUGGAUACAUUGAGAUGUGCUCAAGAAUAUACAUAUUGGACUGCAUAUCAUGCAAUUUAUUCUGAUCUUACUGACAGUUUGCAAACAAAAACUCAAAACAAGAUGCAACUGUGUGCAGCUCCCGAACUGUAGGUUCUGAUUUUGGCAUCCAUGAAUGCACAAGGAAAGGGGAAACAGCUUGAAGAGGUGUGCUUUUGCUCAUCUUACUGUGAAAUAUAAUCUGGGCAUUUGUUUGAUGGAUUUCAUGAAAUAUGGAGGAAAUCUGAACUAAGGGUAAGAGUUUCACCUGAUUGCCUUUAUUUUUACCCCACCUUGGUAAUACUAAGGAGAAGAAAUGAAAAUAACCUGAAGUUGAUGACUGUAGUGACGUAAGUUAACCAUAUUCAGGGGACUCAUUGAGAAUGAGGAAAGGAGGGAGUGAGCAACGAUGGUGAAUUUCAUAUUUUGAGAGGAAGAGCUCUCUCUGUGGCAGUAUCUUCAAAGAAAAACAAGUAUUGGAAGCUAAAAGAAAAGGAGAAAGACCAUGGACUACGUGGAAGUCAGUGUUACUAGACAGGCGUUUUGUAGAAACAGGCUAGUCUUUUGUUGUCACUCUCAGGCAGAGUAGAGAAUAAAUUUUAAUCAUAAGAUUAAAAAAAAAGAAAGAAAAUCAUUAAAAAUUUACAUGUGCUAUGGAAAAAUAAGCUAGUCACCUGAAGCUCACUUUAAUUCCAGCAAAUGUUAUAAGUUGCUGCUUAAAAGUCCCAUGAUGUAUGCAAUUCUUCUGCUUUAUGCCUGGCUCUAUCUAGAAAAAGAUUAUUGAUCAUCUUGUUAAAUGCUGUAUCUUCAAUGAGUCUAUGCUGAUAAAAUUCUGUACUUUACAUGAAAACACGUUUCUAAUAAAAAUUAUCUUAGAAAUAUUUUUUUAGAUAUUUGCAAUGAAAAAUAGGGAAAAGGAAAACUUAAAUCAUUCAUGAUUCUAACACCCAGACUGUAUCAUUCCACUCUUAAUUAUAGAUAUGAUAUGGUAAACUGUUUUGGGACUUGCCUUGUUACACAAUACAC